UCUCCCAUCUCUCUCUUUCUCUCUGGUUGAUAAAAAUGAGAAGAGAGUUUUGUAAAACCCUAGCCCCCAAAUCACAGCUACUGUUCUAAUCGUGUGUUUUUUUUGUGAAUCUUUUGGUGAUCUAUCUUUCCUCGUAUUCAAAAUACAUACAACCCCCGACAAUCGGCUUUCGCUUUGAUUCUUCAUCUUCCGUUUGUGCAUCUGCUGAUCUCCCUAUUUUUCGACCUCAUGGCGGCACUUUUCUAAUCAAGCAUGUGACCUAGCUAGUUCUGUUAAAAAUCUUGGGUCUUAAAACAAGCUAUUCGGGAAGUAUUCUUUCGCCUUUACCUCUUGAAGUUCUUAAUUUCAUUUUCCCUCGUUUAUUUUUGCAUUAUUUUUUUUUUGCAUUCUGUCUAUUCUUAUCUUUUAAUAAUUUUGGAUCUUUGUUAACAUUCAAAUAAAUUUUAUUGGUGUAUUUAUUUGUGUUGGUUCUGGUGAUAUUAUUUGCUUUGGUUACAACUAUGAAUGCAGGAGCUUUUUGCACAACAAUGAAUUGUAACAUUCGUGGUGGUAGUGGAGAAGUCUAGAAGGGGUAAGAAGGGGAUGUUUGAAAGAUAUUUUAUGAACUUAGUUACUAAGGCUGCUUCCGAGAAGACGAGAACUUUGAUGUACAAGACAAUUAAGCUACAAAUAUUGAUAGAAGGAAAUAAAGAAUACAUCAGUUUUUAGUCUCUUUUUUAAAAGAUGUAAUUUUGUAGGGCACUCUUUUUCCCCUUGAGUUUUUUUUCCUUAGGGUUUUACUCUUGAGGGGUUUUAACGAGACUUUUUUUGUGGGUUAUCUCUUCUGACUUGAAAGGUUAUGUUAUCUAAACAUCGAGAGUAUUUUCAUACUUUCGGUUAGAUGAAAUACCUUUUUGAAUGAAGGAAACUCUAUCCAUCCGAAUAUUGUAAAUUGCAAUCUUGGUAUAAUACAACCGUUUUAUGACAAAAUAAAAAUAAAA